GACGAACGCUGGCGGCGUGCUUAACACAUGCAAGUCGAACGAUGAAACCGGAGCUUGCUCCGGUGGAUUAGUGGCGAACGGGUGAGUAACACGUGAGUAACCUGCCCUUGACUCUGGGAUAACUGCGGGAAACUGUACAUAAACCCGGAUACGACCCUCGGAGGCAUCUCCUGGGGGUGGAAAGAAUUUCGGUCAAGGAUGGACUCGCGGCGUAUCAGCUAGAUGGUGAGGUAACGGCUCACCAAGGCGACGACGGGUAGCCGGCUUGAGAGGGGGACCGGCCACACUGGGACUGAGACACGGCCCAGACUCCUACGGGAGGCAGCAGUGGGGAAUAUUGCACAAUGGGCGCAAGCCUGAUGCAGCAACGCCGCGUGAGGGAUGACGGCCUUCGGGUUGUAAACCUCUUUUAGCAGGGAAGAAGCGAAAGUGACGGUACCUGCAGAAAAAGCACCGGCUAACUACGAGCCAGCCGCCGCCGUAA
rnacentral:rRNA from 1 species